rnacentral:rRNA from 1 species
UACGGGGGGAGCAAGCGUUGUUCGGAUUUAUUGGGCGUAAAGCGCGCGCAGGCGGUCCUUUAAGUCUGAUGUGAAAGCCCACGGCUCAACCGUGGAAGGUCAUUGGAAACUGGAGGACUUGAGUACAGAAGAGGAAAGCGGAAUUCCACGUGUAGCGGUGAAAUGCGUAGAGAUGUGGAGGAACACCAGUGGCGAAGGCGGCUUUCUGGUCUGUAACUGACGCUGAGGCGCGAAAGCGUGGGGAGCAAACAGG